rnacentral:ribozyme from 1 species
AUCUACAGAAAUAAAAAAAGAUAAAGAAAAAAUAAGAAGAAAAUGACCAAAACCAAAGUAUGUGUCACAGGAGGUAGUGGAUUCCUAGGUUCCUGGUGUGU